AUCAAAGUAGUUUUCCAAUGACCCAAAAAGAAUAGCUGAGCUCUGCAGAUUGGAGCUGGUCACGGAGCACAGUAGAGUUGCGCUAAUCAUCAUUUGCCAGAUAGGAGCCUUGACCCAUCACUGAAGGUUUCGAGUUCAUCCACCAACCUUGCUUUGCUACUGCUGUAAAGAGAUCUUGAAGGUUUAUUUCAAAGAUUACCAUCAAUUUUGGAUCACAGAGGUUGGCGUGACAGGUAUCUCUUGCUUCAAAAUUGAACAAACAGACAAGUCAAGAAGAAGAUUCAACCAUCAGUUAUUCCACUGUAUGUUUUUAGGCUGUAAUCGUCCAACUCGGUGACAUCAGCAAUGAUUUUCAUCUCUCUAUGGGGUAGGUAAUAGAAAUUUGUGGUUUCAUUUGGGCGGUUUAAUUAUUCUACGUCUUAUAUAGCUGUAGCUAUUUGACUCAUUAUUUUAUAAUUUUUUAUUAUUCA